AAAAGACUUAGUCCUAACCUUACCAUUAAUUCUCGCCAGACCUAUACAUGCAAGUAUCCGCACCCCAGUGUAAAUGCCCCUAACCCCUUACCAAGACAAGAGGAGCAGGUAUCAGGCACACCCCCCGUAGCCCAAGACACCUUGCUCAGCCACACCCCCACGGGUAUUCAGCAGUAACUAACAUUAAGCAAUGAGCGUAAGCUCGACUUAGCCAUGGCAACACUCAGGGUUGGUAAAUCUUGUGCCAGCCACCGCGGUCAUACAAGAAACCCAAAUUAAUCGUAUACGGCGUAAAGAGUGACUCAAUACUAUCGCCCCGCCUGAGGCCAAAACAUGUCCAAGCUGUCAUAAGCCCAAGACAUACCUAAGCCCCCACCCUCCUCAACUCCAGCGAUUAACAGACCUCACGAAAGCCAGGGAACAAACUGGGAUUAGAUACCCCACUAUGCCUGGCCAUAAAUUCAAAUGCUUCCCCCACCCAAGCAUUCGCCAGGGAACUACGAGCACAAACGCUUAAAACCCUAAGGACUUGGCGGUGUCCCAAACCCACCUAGAGGAGCCUGUUCUAUAAUCGAUAACCCACGCUACACCCAACCUCCCCUUGCCCCGAGCAGCCUACAUACCGCCGUCGCCAGCUCACCUCACCUGAGAGCCCAACAGUGAGCACAACAGCCUCACCCGCUAAAAAGACAGGUCAAGGUAUAGCCCAUGGAGAGGAAAGAAAUGGGCUACAUUUUCUGGACCCAGAAGACAACGAAAGAGGGUUUGAAAGCACACCCUCAGAAGGCGGAUUUAGCAGUAAAACACGACCACCACGCUUGUUUUAAACCGGCCCUGGGACACGUACAUACCGCCCGUCACCCUCCUCACAAGCAAACCUUUCCCCCCCUUCAAUCAAAACCAAAGUCUGCCAAAGAUGAGGUAAGUCGUAACAAGGUAAGUGUACCGGAAGGUGCACUUAGCACAU
rnacentral:ncRNA from 1 species